GCUUACGGCCACACGCCUGGUUCACGCCCGAUCUCGUUUGAUCUCGGAAGAUAAGAUAGGUUGGGCCUGGUUAGUACUUGGAUGGGAGACCGCCUGGGAAUACCAGGUGCUGUAAACU
rnacentral:rRNA from 1 species